ensembl:miRNA
UGUAUUCUAUCCUUCAUUCCACCGGAGUCUGUGUAAAGUGCCAGUCAGAUUUCAGUGGUUUGAAGAGUAAAACGCAUGGA